rnacentral:rRNA from 1 species
GUGGCGCAGCUAACGCACUAAGUAGACCGCCUGGGGAGUACGGCCGCAAGGUUAAAACUCAAAUGAAUUGACGGGGGCCCGCACAAGCGGUGGAGCAUGUGGUUUAAUUCGACGCAACGCGAAGAACCUUACCUGGCCUUGACAUGCAGAGAACUUUCCAGAGAUGGAUGGGUGCCUUCGGGAACUCUGACACAGGUGCUGCAUGGCCGUCGUCAGCUCGUGUCGUGAGAUGUUGGGUUAAGUCCCGUAACGAGCGCAACCCCUAUCCCUAGUUGCUAGCAGUUCGGCUGAGAACUCUAGGGAGACUGCCGGUGACAAACCGGAGGAAGGUGGGGAUGACGUCAGGUCAUCAUGGCCCUUACGGCCAGGGCUACACACGUGCUACAAUGGUGCGCACAGAGGGCUGCAAACCCGCGAGGGGGAGCCAAUCUCACAAAACGCAUCGUAGUCCGGAUCGCAGUCUGCAACUCGACUGCGUGAAGUCGGAAUCGCUAGUAAUCGUGAAUCAGAAUGUCACGGUGAAUACGUUCCCGGGCCUUGUACACACCGCCCGUCACACCAUGGGAGUGGAUUGCACCAGAAGUGGUUAGUCUAACCUUCGGGAGGACGAUCACCACGGUGUGGUUCAUGACUGGGGUG